GUGACGGAGCGUGAAAAGAAGACAUAGCGAAAUCGUGGCCCAACGAACAGGAACUUGAUAUAAGGCCUAUGAGUGGAUAAGAUGCCUAAACACAUUGAAGUCCAAAAGAUGGUUAAACUCGGAUGGUAAAUCAAGUGGGUAAACGAGGAAAGAG
rnacentral:ncRNA from 1 species